rnacentral:rRNA from 1 species
UACGUAGGGCGCAAGCGUUGUCCGGAAUUAUUGGGCGUAAAGAGCUCGUAGGCGGUUUGUCGCGUCUGCUGUGAAAACCUAAGGCUCAACCUUGGGCUUGCAGUGGGUACGGGCAGACUAGAGUGUGGUAGGGGAGACUGGAAUUCCUGGUGUAGCGGUGAAAUGCGCAGAUAUCAGGAGGAACACCGAUGGCGAAGGCAGGGUCUCUGGGCCAUAACUGACGCUGAGAAGCGAAAGCAUGGGGAGCGAACAGG